UAGGGAAUNUCGGCAAUGGGGGCAACCCUGACCGAGCAACGCCGCNUGAGUGAAGAAAGGUNUUCGGAUUGUAAAGCUCUGUUGUAAGUCAAGAANCGAGUGUGAGAGUGGAAAGUUCACACUGUGACGGUAGCUUACCAGAAAGGGACGGCUAACUACGUGCCAGCAGCCGCGGUAAUACGUAGGUGGCAAGCCUUAUCCGGAUUUAUUGGGCGUAAAAAGAAGGCUGGCGGUGUUUUUUAUUUUUGAUUGGAAACCCUUGGGNUAACCCGGAGAAGUGCUUCGGAAACUGGAUAACCUUGAGUGCAGAAGAGGGUAGUGGAACUCCAUGUGUAGCGGUGGAAUGCGUAGAUAUAUGGAAGAACACCAGUGGCGAAGGCGGCUACCUGGUCUGCAACUGACGCUGAGACUCGAAAGCAUGGGUAGCGAACAGGAUUAGAUACCCUGGUAGUCCAUGCCGUAAACGAUGAGUGCUAGGUGUUGGAGGGUUUCCGCCCUUCAGUGCCGGAGCUAACGCAUUAAGCACUCCGCCUGGGGAGUACGACCGCAAGGUUG
rnacentral:rRNA from 1 species